CGUAACCAAUCCAAAGCCUCGUCUGGGUAGGACAGGGCCGUGAGAGGGCGAGAUGGGGCGGUGUUUAGUUGGAACCAAUCUAGAGCCUAGAGCGGUCUGAUGGACAGGAAGCUGCACCUCUCAGAGGACAUCAUUGGGAAGUCGUUAGCCGGACCCAGUAGGAGCGUGCUAGGAGGUUUGACGAGCAGCGACAAGAGCCUAUCAGAGCCCGGCCCAUCAUGGCGGCGCCCAGCGAGCAGCGGCCUACGGCAGGUGUGUAGCUGCGACCACAACGGAGCUGCGGCAGGACGGGUGCAGGAAGGAGUUUGAGGCCCUGAAGCAGUGCUUCACCCAGGCAGCAAAGAAGACAAUGAAGUGAAGGCAUUGGUAA